AGUGAACGCUGGCGGUAGGCCUAACACAUGCCAGUCGAACGGCAGCACAGUAAGAGCUUGCUCUUGCGGGUGGCGAGUGGCGGACGGGUGAGGAAUACAUCGGAAUCUACUUUUUCGUGGGGGAUAACGUAGGGAAACUUACGCUAAUACCGCAUACGACCUACGGGUGAAAGCAGGGGAUCUUCGGACCUUGCGCGAUUGAAUGAGCCGAUGUCGGAUUAGCUAGUUGGCGGGGUAAAGGCCCACCAAGGCGACGAUCCGUAGCUGGUCUGAGAGGAUGAUCAGCCACACUGGAGCUGAGACACGGUCCAGACUCCUACGGGAGGCAGCAGUGGGGAAUAUUGGACAAUGGGCGAAAGCCUGAUCCAGCCAUACCGCGUGGGUGAAGAAGGCCUUCGGGUUGUAAAGCCCUUUUGUUGGGAAAGAAAAGCAGCAGGUUAAUACCCCGCUGUUCUGACGGUACCCAAAGAAUAAGCACCGGCUAACUUCGUG
rnacentral:rRNA from 1 species